CACUUCUAAGGAAGGCAGCAGGCGCGCAAAUUACCCAAUCCUGACUCAGGGGGGUAGUGACAAGAAAUAACAAUAAACCGGCUUAUGCCGGUUUAAUUGGAAUGAGUACAAUUUAAACAUCUUAACGAGGAACAAUUGGAGGGCAAGUCUGGUGCCAGCAGCCGCGGUAAUUCCAGCUCCAAUAGCGUAUACUAAAGUUGUUGCAGUUAAAAAGCUCGUAGUUGGAUUUCUGUGGGGACGGAGCGGCCGGCCGCACAUCGCGGUUCGAGCUAGCGCUUUCCCUACAUCCUGCCGCGAACCGUGCUACCAUUAGUUUGGUGGCGCCGGGGAUCAGCUCGAUUACUUUGAGAAAAAUAGAGUGUUCAAAGCAGGCCACAUGCCUUGAAUAAGUUAGCAUGGAAUAAUAACUAAGGACUUCGGUUCUAUUUUGUUGGUGUUCGGGACUGAAGUAAUGAUUGAUAGGGACAGUUGGGGCGGUCCGUAUUCCAAAGCGAGAGGUGAAAUUCUUAGACCUUCGGAAGACAAACAGCUGCGAAAGCGUUCCGCAAGGAUGUUCCCUUUGAUCAAGAACGAAAGUUGGGGGAUCGAAGACGAUCAGAUACCGUCGUAGUCUCAACUAUAAACUAUACCAGCCAGGGAUCGGCCAACGUUAUUUUAUACCGACUUGGUCGGCACCUUAUGAGAAAUCAAAGCAUCUGGGUUCCGGGGGGAGUAUGGUCGCAAGGCUGAAACUUAAAGGAAUUGACGGAAGGGCACCACCAGCCGUGGAGCUUGUGGCUUAAUUUGACUCAAUACGGGAAAACUUACCAGGUCCAGACAUAGUAAGGAUUGACAGAUUGAUAGCUCUUUCUUGAUUCUGUGGGUGGUGGUGCAUGGCCGUUCUUAGUUGGUGGAGUGAUUUGUCUGGUUAAUUCCGUUAACGAACGAGACCCCAGCCUGCUAAAUAGCGCGCGUGAGCUUUGCUCGCGGCGAGCUUCUUAGAGGGACUAUGAUGCGCGAUAGCACAUGGAAGUUUGGGGCAAUAACAGGUCUGUGAUGCCCUUAGAUGUUCUGGGCCGCACACGGGCUACACUGGCGCCUGCAACGAGCAUAUCAGCUGGCCCGAGAGGGUCUUGGCUAAUCUUUUGAACCGGCGCCGUGCUUGGGAUUGACCUUUGCAAUUGUUGGUCAUGCAACGAGGAAUGCCUUGUAAACGCGAGUCAUCAGCUCGCAUUGAAUACGUCCCUGCCCUUUGUACACACCGCCCGUCGCUCCUACCGAUGAAUGUUCCGAUGAAAUUUUCGGAGAGCACCUGUGAACUUGGCUCUGCCUUGCGAACGGGAGGCUCAAAGUCACUUAAAUCUGAACAUUUCGAGG
rnacentral:rRNA from 1 species